rnacentral:tRNA from 1 species
GGCCCCAUAGCAUAAUGGAUAGUGCGUCCGGUUUCGGCCCGGAUGGUUUGGGUUCGACUCCCAAUGGGGUCA